UGGAGAGGGGCGCGGGGGCGCGGCGGGGAGUUUGCCUGCACCUCUUUGCUGGUGCGAGCUGGCGGGGGAGUGAGGUCCUGGAAGCGGGGGCUCAAGCUGGGCUGAAGCGGAUAAGGCAGCGGGGCAGCGUGGCGAAAGGAGGGACACAAAAUUCAUAACUCUCCUAGUCUUUCCUUAAACCCUUAUUGUCAGGAAAAUUAAACUUUCAAAGAUGCCAGCAACCUGAAGACCCAAGGCUUUGCUGUUGGCAGAAUUCUUCCUUUUCCUGAAAGCUUAUCAUCAGAACUCCAGUGAUUACCUAAUGGAUUUGAUACAUGAGGAAGACCACACGGAAAAGCAUACUUGGAGGCGGUGGAGGGAUCAUCAGUUGCCCACUUUUGCUGAGAUACCGUAUUAGUUAAGGUGGUUGCUCCUAACCUUUGCGAUAAAGACAACCCAAUACCAACAACAAUCAACCAACCAAGUAAAUAAAAAGAAAUCUGUACUUCUGUGGCUU